GCCUAGGUGGCUCAGUCAGUUAAGCGUCUGACUUCAGCUCAGGACGUGAUCUUGUGGUCCAUGGGUUUGAGCCCCAUGUCAGGCU
rnacentral:tRNA from 1 species